GACGAACCGUGCAAACGUUGUUCGGAAUCACUGGGCUUAAAGUGCGCGUAGGCGGAUGCAUCAGUCAGGGGUGAAAUCCCACGGCUCAACCGUGGAAGUGCCUUUGAGACGGUGUGUCUAGAGGGAGGUAGGGGCGUGCGGAACUUCCGGUGGAGCGGUGAAAUGCGUAGAUAUCGGAAGGAACACCGGUGGCGAAAGCGGCGCGCUGGACCUCUUCUGACGCUGAGGCGCGAAAGCCAGGGGAGCAAACGGG
rnacentral:rRNA from 1 species